AUACGGGGGGUGCAAGCGUUACUCGGAAUCACUGGGCGUAAAGCGCGCGCAGGCGGUCUUUUAAGUUGGAUGUGAAAGCCUACGGCUCAACCGUAGAACUGCAUCCAAAACUAUUAGACUAGAGUGUGGGAGAGGAAGAUGGAAUUAGUUGUGUAGGGGUAAAAUCCGUAGAGAUAACUAGGAAUACCAAAAGCGAAGGCAAUCUUCUGGAACACUACUGACGCUGAGGCGCGAAAGCGUGGGGAGCAAACAGGAUUAGAAACCCUGGUAGUCC
rnacentral:rRNA from 1 species